rnacentral:tRNA from 1 species
ACCCCGGAAGUGCAACCGGACGCACGCGGCCCUCCGAAGGCCGAGGUUCCGGGUUCGAGUCCCGGACGGGGUA